rnacentral:lncRNA from 10 species
CUGGCUACUUGGGGGAGUCUCAGCAUCUUGGGGAACAGCAGCCAUAGAUGGAAGCAUGAAUGGAGCUGGGGUGACUUUGGGCCAGUAGGAGCCAAUCAGAAAUGAGCUGGUGGACUCCAUGAAGACAGGACUGUCCAUUUCUUAUUCCAGCCACAGCACUGGGCUUGACACAUAGUUGGAGCGGGACAAAUGUUGUUAAAAGAAUGAAGGAUGGCCAGGUGUGGUGGCUCACACCUGUAAUCCCAGCAAUUUGGGAGGCUGAGGCAGGCGGAUCACUUGAGGUCAGGAGUUUGAGACCAUCCUGGCCAACGUGGUGAAACCCUGUCUCUACUAAAAAUACAAAAAAUUAGCCAGGCGUGGUGGCACUCAUCUGUGAUCCCAGCUACUUGGGAAGCUGAGGCAGGAGAAUUGCU